GGGCAAGUGGCACAGUGGUAGCGCGCCUGCUUCGCAUCUCUCUUGAGAACGAUUGCAUGAGGUCCUGGGUUCAAUCCCCAGCUUGUCCA